rnacentral:lncRNA from 1 species
UUCUGAAUUUUUAUCAGGUGAUGCCUUCAUGUAAAAUUUUGCAGAACAUAGUUUGGGUUCUUCUAACACGUUCGGCAGUUUUUUCGUAAGAUUGUAUGGUUCAUCGAAUUGGAGCUUUUGACCUUAUAUUUUUGAUGCAGUACAUUACAAUUUUGCAGAACAUAGUCUGGUCACAGGAAUAAUCUCUUCUCACAGGAAUAGUGUCAUGAUUUGCACGCGCAUGGUUUUCGAUUUGCAUUGUUUGAUAUAUAUGAAGGGGGAUUUUAUACCUACGAUUUUUUGACACUUCCUUUUAUUGACACUUCUGGGAUUUACAAAUCUAAGAUUCAUUUUUUCCUUCUGCAGAUUAAUAUCUUUGAGUGUCAUUUCCCAGUAUGCUAGUGGUAAAACAUUGGGUUUUACGAUUGUCUUGGUUUUCCAACACUCCUAUUAUUUUCCGACCCAUAGGAGCAGCUAUAUGAAUGUUAAGGACAGAACAAGUUCUUCAUAAGGGAGAUUUUGAUCAAUCUGUUUCCCUGUUAAAUUCCUUUACGUGAUUUUUUAAUAUUAGCCUGUUAUAGCCUUAAUAAUUUCAAAUUUAGGAUGCAAGGAUCAAUAUUCCUCAGCCCCACACGAGGUGGUUUUGGAAUUGGAAUGUUUUGGCCGGCUGAGUUCUAAAUCUAUUAUUUUCAGAUGAACCGUGUUUCAUCAUCUCUAAGGAGAAGCGAUUUUGAACUCUCAUUGACUUAUUCACUAAUAUGUCUGUCAUUUUAAUACCAUUUUGGCUGUCCUAAAUCCAAAAUAUGAUUUGCCCAUGCAGAUAAAUACGACAAGCGAUUCCUUUUCCUUGAGUCUUUGCUGUAAAAAGGCGGUUUUAUUUUUCCAUAUAACUUUUAAGCCUUUUCUAUUGCCCUUUCCAUGUUACUAGUUCUGUAUUUUAUGAUUUUGCAGAAAAUCCAAGGCCUUUAUGAAGUUACUUUCAGAGCCUUGCUAGAUCAAAAGUGGAAGUACCACAUUACAUUCAAAAAGGGUUUUUUCAAUCAAUUUUUCCCUGUUUGAUAAUUUAGAGUAGUCUACAACAAUGGAUUUACCAUAAUCGUUUUGAUAUCUAGAAUCUAAAGACCUGGUUUCUUCAAAUCCCAAUACAUUUUGGACGUGGGACGGUAACUCUAAGUAUUUUCUUACAAUCUUGUGCUGUCGUUUUCCUCUGGCCAUGGUUUCUGAAUUUUUAUCAGGUGAUGCCUUCAUGUAAAAUUUUGCAGAACAUAGUUUGGGUUCUUCUAACACGUUCGGCAGUUUUUUCGUAAGAUUGUAUGGUUCAUCGAAUUGGAGCUUUUCACCUUAUAUUUUUGAUGCAGUACAUUACAAUUUUGCAGAACAUAGUCUGGUCACAGGAAUAAUCUCUUCUCACAGGAAUAGUGUCAUGAUUUGCACGCGCCCAUGGUUUUCGACUUGCAUCGUUUGAUAUAUAUGAAGGGGGAUUUUAUACCUACG